UGGGGAAUAUUGCACAAUGGGCGAAAGCCUGAUGCAGCGACGCCGCGUGCGGGAUGAAGGCCUUCGGGUUGUAAACCGCUUUUGAUUGGGAGCAAGCGAGAGUGAGUGUACCUUUCGAAUAAGCACCGGCUAACUACGUGCCAGCAGCCGCGGUAAUACGUAGGGUGCAAGCGUUAUCCGGAAUUAUUGGGCGUAAAGAGCUCGUAGGCGGUUUGUCGCGUCUGGUGUGAAAGUCCAUCGCUUAACGGUGGAUCUGCGCCGGGUACGGGCAGGCUAGAGUGCGACAGGGGAGACUGGAAUUCCCGGUGUAACGGUGGAAUGUGUAGAUAUCGGGAAGAACACCAAUGGCGAAGGCAGGUCUCUGGGUCGUCACUGACGCUGAGGAGCGAAAGCGUGGGGAGCGAACAGGAUUAGAUACCCUGGUAGUCCACGCCGUAAACGGUGGAUGCUGGAUGUGGGGCCCAUUCCACGGGUUCCGUGUCGGAGCUAACGCGUUAAGCAUCCGCCUGGGGAGUACGGCCGCAAGGCUAAAAC
rnacentral:rRNA from 1 species